rnacentral:rRNA from 1 species
UUUAGUAAAUUUCAAUAUGUUUUUUGAAAUUGAAGCUUAGAGAUCUACCUCUAAAACUAAAAAAAUUUAAAUCCUAUAGUGAACUAGUACUGCGAAGGAAAGGUGAAAAGAUUUUUAAAUAUUUUAAAAGAUUCUGAAAUUUAAUGCUAUACACAGUUAAAGUAAUAUAUUUUAACGUACCUUUUGCAUAAUGGGCUAGCAAGUUUAUAUAAUUAGCGAGUAAUUUAUUAAAAUAAAAAUACGAAUUGAAAAAAAAUAGUUAAUUAUAUAAGACCCGAAGCUAAGUGAUCUAAUUAUGAUUAGGUUAAGGGUAAUAUUUACCUAAGGACCGAACUCUUAAAUGUUGCAAAAUUUUGGGAUAAAUUGUAAUUAGGGGUGAAAGGCUUAU